AUGUAGAGUUGGUAUGGCCCACAGGCCUGCCCUCGUCUCCGCCCCCCCGAAGGCGGGGCCUGCGAGGCCCGCUGCAGCCCUCCCCCUCUAGGCUGCGGUGGUACUGCUGUUGCCGCACGGGGUCUGGAAGCCGCCCGGGGAAGGUUUGGGGACUUUUUCUCUCCCUAAGAGCCCCAGGGACCGUCCCUUGGAAGGCAGCCAGCGUGUUAGUGGAGGGUGAAGGGACAGUGCCCUCAUGUUUCGUCUUCUUGCCAGGUGCCCUUAGUGACCUUGCUUUGCCAGUAAACUGGCCUUGAGGCCUUCACCAGGCCAGAAGCCAGGCCAGCCCCAUCCCGCUGGCUGUCUGACAGUAGUGCUGCUAUGGACGUCUACCAUGGACUGCACUGCAAGAUUUACAUGCAUUUAUCUCUGUAAAUGUAUGUGUUGUCGACUCCAGGCGACAAUGAAAGAUUGUCGUUGAGAUUAAGCAGCUUGCAGUGGUCCCACGGUUUAAUAAGAUGGCCACUGAAAGGAGUACCCCCCACACAUACCCCAUUCAGAUGGCCCGGGGAGUUACGUGACUGUUGACUGGGUUCUGUGCUCUUACUCCAGGCAGCUCAUGACAUCCUCUGCAAUGUCAGGUCACCAUGAGUAUGCACUUCCCUCAGAGACACUUCCUCAGGCUACUUCACAGCCAUUGUGAGACCCCUAUAGUAUAUGUAUUGAUGGGAGAAGGAAACCAAUGUGGGUUGAGAUGAAAUUUUAAGCCAGCUGUAAAUUGCAUUCACAUCCCAGUAACAGCCCGUUGCAGUGUCUUAAACACAAAAGAGUAUAUUCCCUCAUGGGUACAAGGUCUGGGGUAGACAGUUCAGUGACGUCAUCAAGGACACAAGCUCACUAGGUGUAAUGACACACACCUGAAAUCCCAGCAACUCAGGAGGCUGAGGCUGGAGGAUCUCAAGUUUAAGGCCAGCCUGGGCAACUUAGUGAGACUUUGUCUCAGAAUAAAAUGGGCUGGGUGUGGGGGCUGGAGAAUAGCUCAGUUGGUAGAGUGCUUUCCUCACAUGCACAAGACAUUGGGUUUAAUCCCCAGCACCACACAAAAAAAAGAUGGGGGACUGGGUGUGUAUCUCAGUGGUAAAAGCCCCCACAGGUUCAAUCACCAGGACAAAAAAGACUUAAAAAAAAUCAAAAAGAAAAGAUACAAACUCCUCUAUCCCCCUAGCUGCCUCAUGAUUUGUUAAAACUCCUAAAGUACCAGCCAUGUUAUUACGUUUCCAGGAAGGGGAAAGAAUAAAAGGUUGGGUUCCAUUUGUCUCCUUUUAUGGAUCCUCUGUGGGAGAUUCACCCAACAAAUUCUACUCAAGACAUCACUGGUCAAAAUUUACAUAAAAAGCUACGGUUAUCCAGAAGGAAAGCUGGUAAAUGUAAUGAUUUUGCUGUGCACAUUUUCAGUUUGAAAAAAUGUGGAAUUCUGUAUCUAAAGGAAUAACAAAUAGUGAAUUAGAAAAUGACAGUUUUUGUUACAAAUCCUUCUCUAACUUUAUUUCCACACCCUUAGACAUAAACACUAUCAUUAAUAGAAUCAUCUUAGGUAGAUUCUCUUGUUUUUCUUUUAUGCCUUCUUUUACUUUGGUGUGUAACAGAUCUUACCACACAGGAAUCUAAGUGAGAAGGUCUUUUAUCCAGUGUUGAUCAUAAUCCCGAACACCAAAAUCCUGAAUGUUGCAAUCCCUAAGGUGUAAAAUCCUGAAAUCACUAUUUUGAAAGAUUAUAAUCCUGAAUGUGGAAAUCCUGACUGCUGAAAUUCCCCAAACCUCAGUUUCGACAUUGGGGAAAGCUCUCUAAUGGGAUAGUAAUUCUGUUCCGGGAAGUGAUUGCCAUGACAACAACUUGAGUUUUAAAAUGCAUCCUCUGUUUGUACUGAAGUUCUUUCCAGCUGAUGAAAUUUCAAAAUUUUUUUAUGAAGUAAAGCUGUAUUUGCUUAAA